UAGGGAAUCUUCCGCAAUGGACGAAAGUCUGACGGAGCAACGCCGCGUGAGUGAAGAAGGAUUUCGGUUCGUAAAACUCUGUUGUUAGGGAAGAAAAAAUGUAUAGUAACUAUAUACAAAAGAGACGGUACCUAACCAGAAAGACACGGCUAACUACGUGCCAGCAGCCGCGGUAAUACGUAGGUGGCAAGCGUUGUCCGGAAUUAUUGGGCGUAAAGCGCGCGAAGUUGGUUUAGAAAGUCUGAUGUGAAAGCCCACGGCUCAACCGUGGAGGGUCAUUGGAAACUAAUAAACUUGAGUGCAGGAGAGAAAAGUGGAAUUCCUAGUGUAGCGGUGAAAUGCGUAGAGAUUAGGAGGAACACCGGUGGCGAAAUCGGCUUUUUGGCCUGCAACUGACACUGAGGCGCGAAAGCGUGGGGAGCAAACAGG
rnacentral:rRNA from 1 species